rnacentral:lncRNA from 1 species
UCGAACUUCAAAGUGUGGCAUUAAAGAACCGGUGUUUGAGCGUCGGUGCACCCUUAACUGCAGUUCCAACGCCCGUUAAGCAUGUUUACGUAUUAGAUGAACUAACUUCGAUGUCUUUAGAAGCGUUUCCGUCACCACCUUUGUCCUCUAGCUUCCUCUUGUAAUAAUCACACCACAGCCACCAGGGAUCACAAUCACCACUACUAUAUCACCAUUUUAUAAAAGACAAGCUUUCAACUCUCAACUCAGG